rfam:Strongylocentrotus purpuratus Contig40991_fixed, whole genome shotgun sequence.
CAAACGGCUCUUUUCAGAGCCACCACAACCCCAAGAACCACUGUUG